GACGAACGCUGGCGGCGUGCUUAACACAUGCAAGUCGAACGAAGUGGCGAACGGGUGAGUAACGCGUAAUCAACCUGCCCUUCAGAGGGGGACAACAGUUGGAAACGACUGCUAAUACCGCAUACUGAAGGAGGGGAUUGCGUCUGAUUAGCUAGUUGGAGGGGUAACGGCCCACCAAGGCGAUGAUGGGUAGCCGGACUGAGAGGGUGACAGGGCACAAGGGGACAGAGACACGGCCAUUACGCAUACGGGAGGCAGCAGUGGGGAAUAUUGGACAAUGGACCAAAGUCUGAUGAAGCAAUUCGGGGUGAAAGAUGAAGUUUUUCGGAAUGUAGAGUGCUUUCAGUUGGGAAGCGGUACCAACAGAAGAAGUGACGGCUAAAUACGUGCCAGCAGCCGCGGUAAUUC
rnacentral:rRNA from 1 species